UCAAGAUUUAAAGUACUACCUUGUAGCAGUCAUCCGGAAUAGCAGUCCUCCACUUGCUAGUAGGCUUUAAAUGUUCAUACGAGUUGACCAUGAUCUCUACAACUUUAGGGUAGUCGUGGCAGGACUGCAAUACCUGCAAAGGACAACAUGAUAGGGCACCACCCAAGAAGCAAGAAGUACCGCGUCCAAACCUUCUUUUAAUCGCCGGGGGGAUCCUUCUGCACUGGCCAGACCUCUGGGUACCGCAUCAUAAGAGGCCACACUACGAAUGGAGCCAGAGCGACUGUGACCUGGACUACUGCGCCCCUCUAAGACCUGAGGAUGGACGGCAAGAGUCUGAUACUGCGCCUGGGCCUCCUUCAAGUGUUCAUUGACCGUGUGGCACAGGGUCUGCGCCUCGAUCCAGUAGCUCUCCAGCUUCAGCAUCCUUUCCUUGUUCUCCUCGAUGCUGGCCUUCAACUGGCUCUUCUCUUUCUCCCAACGCUGCUUCUCCCGCUCCACAGAGGCCAGCUGCAAGGAGGAGAAGAGGACAAUUUCAAUGACCAUGGCCACCAGUGUGAUGAGUACCACUCCAUAAAAACAUUCAUCCAAUUAAGGAAAGAGGGAGUGCAUCUUACCGUACAACUCCUGAUGUGUUCCUGAGGACAGAGGCUGCAAAGCUUUGCGUGACACCCACCAGGCUGGUCCCGUCCACCUCCACUAUUUGGUCAUUCACUUUGAUCCUAACACGCACAGACACAACACACAAAAAUGAGGACAUCAUUUAACACUUGAGGGUUAGAGGAUGAAUGUCAUUGUCUUAACGCUCAUUGAAACAGCUCGUAGUUCACCAUGCCCCUCUUGAAAAUGACUGCCACGGAAAAUAAAUGUCAAAAUUACAUGGUGAUACUAAUGCACGGGAAGCGGAAGAAACAUCAGCCUGGCCAAUCAUGCACAUUAUUUUCAAGAUUGGAAGACUGCACUCGGGCAGACGUUUCCCUCCGAUGGCUCUAAACUAACCACAAGACCGAAAAAAACGAGGCCCCAAAAGAAACAUGGAGGUCCAUCGAGGACACAGAGGCCAGGCUUGCCUUUUUUGCCCUUGAGCCACAAAACACAGCACAGCCAGGCUUUCUGCUCCGUUCUGGACGAGACGAGAGGUCAGACGAGACGUUGAACUCCUAUGAACCACCCACUGAUCAUCCAGUAAUACUCAUCUGACAUCUUAAUCUGGCUACGCGCCUCCAAAUCGGCCCGACAUGAACAUUCGCGAGCCGAGAGGGAAUUAGGAAAAGAUAAAGUGGCCACGAAGGAACGCGACACAUCUCCGAGGGUCAUCAGAAUCGCACAUAACAGUGAGCAUCAGCCGAGUCAAUCGAUCUGCCUGCCUGCCAUUGUGUGCCUCAGACCAUUAAACCUGACUCUGCAAAAGGCCAACGCACACACACGAACAGAACCAAGUUGAUGGAGAGGGGGAGCACGAGCCCAUCCCAGCUGACUUGGGGCAAAAAGCAGACUACACCAUGGACUCAACUGCCUGCGUCAGCAACUGUGCAGAUCGUAGUAGCCUCACCUGCCGUCUCUUUCGGCCGCUCCGCCUUCAAUGACGGUCUUGACGAAGAUACCCAGUUUCUCCAGGCCUGCGUCAGCACCAACACCCAUCCCGAUGAUGCUGAUCCCCAAGCCAUCCUCAUCUGAACACAUGAGCUCUACGGGGAAAAGCUCAAGCUUCUCCACCCUCUUCUCCAGCUCGUACUCUGCGGACGAAGCCACAGGAUCCACUUCCUCGUUACGGCGGUCAUAGUCCUCGUUGGAGUAGGUCUUAAAUACCUGGAGAG